rnacentral:rRNA from 1 species
AUUGAACGCUGGCGGCAGGCCUAACACAUGCAAGUCGAGCGAGCGGCGGACGGGUGAGUAAUGUAUGGGGAUCUGCCUGAUAGAGGGGGAUAACUCCUGGAAACGGUGGCUAAUACCGCAUACUAUCGGAUGUACCCAUAUGGGAUUAGCUAGUUGGUGGGGUAAAGGCUCACAAAGGCGACGAUCUCUAGCUGGUCUGAGAGGAUGACCAGCCAAACUGGGACGGGGACACGGUCCAGACUCCUACGGGAGGCAGCAGUGGGGAAUAUUGCACAAGGGGCGCAAGCCUGAUGCAGCCAUGCCGCGUGUAUGAAGAAGGCCUUAGGGUUGUAAAGUACUUUCAGCGGGGAGGCGUUACCCGCAGAAGAAGCACCGGCUAACUCCGUGCCAGCCGCCGCGGUAAUUC